AGAGUUUGAUCAUGGCUCAGAGCGAACGUUAGCGGCGCGCCUAACACAUGCAAGUCGCACGAGAAAGGGCUUCGGCCCCGGUAAAGUGGCGCACGGGUGCGUAACACGUAGGCAAUCUUCCCUUCGGUGGGGGAUAACGUUCCGAAAGGAACGCUAAUACCGCGUAAGACCACGACCGGUUCGCCGGAUGUGGUCAAAGGUGGCCUCUCCUUGGAAGCCAUCGCCGGAGAAUGAGCCUGCGGCCCAUCAGCUAGUUGGCGGGGUAAUGGCCCACCAAGGCAGAGACGGGUAGCUGGUCUGAGAGGAUGAUCAGCCACACUGGCACUGAAACACGGGCCAGACUUCUACGGAAGGCAGCAGUGGGGAAUCUUGGUCAAUGGGCGCAAGCCUGAACCAGCGACGCCGCGUGAGUGAUGAAGGCCUUCGGGUUGUAAAGCUCUGUGGGGAGGGACGAAAACGGCUCGGAAUAAUACGCCGAGUCCUUGACGGUACCUCCUUAGCAAGCACCGGCUAACUCUGUGCCAGCAGCCGCGGUAAUUC
rnacentral:rRNA from 1 species